ACAUGCAGUCGAGCGGACCGACGGGAGCUUGCUCCCUUAGGUCAGCGGCGGACGGGUGAGUAACACGUGGGUAACCUGCCUGUAAGACUGGGAUAACUCCGGGAAACCGGGGCUAAUACCGGAUGCUUGAUUGAACCGCAUGGUUCAAUCAUAAAAGGUGGCUUUUAGCUACCACUUACAGAUGGACCCGCGGCGCAUNAGCUAGUUGGUGAGGUAACGGCUCACCAAGGCGACGAUGCGUAGCCGACCUGAGAGGGUGAUCGGCCACACUGGGACUGAGACACGGCCCAGACUCCUACGGGAGGCAGCAGUAGGGAAUCUUCCGCAAUGGACGAAAGUCUGACGGAGCAACGCCGCGUGAGUGAUGAAGGUUUUCGGAUCGUAAAACUCUGUUGUUAGGGAAGAACAAGUACCGUUCGAAUAGGGCGGCACCUUGACGGUACCUAACCAGAAAGCCACGGCUAACUACGUGCCAGCAGCCGCGGUAAUACGUAGGUGGCAAGCGUUGUCCGGAAUUAUUGGGCGUAAAGCGCGCGCAGGCGGUUUCUUAAGUCUGAUGUGAAAGCCCCCGGCUCAACCGGGGAGGGUCAUUGGAAACUGGGGAACUUGAGUGCAGAAGAGGAGAGUGGAAUUCCACGUGUAGCGGUGAAAUGCGUAGAGAUGUGGAGGAACACCAGUGGCGAAGGCGACUCUCUGGUCUGUAACUGACGCUGAGGCGCGAAAGCGUGGGGAGCGAACAGGAUUAGAUACCCUGGUAGUCCACGCCGUAAACGAUGAGUGCUAAGUGUUAGAGGGUUUCCGCCCUUUAGUGCUGCAGCAAACGCAUUAAGCACUCCGCCUGGGGAGUACGGUCGCAAGACUGAAACUCAAAGGAAUUGACGGGGGCCCGCACAAGCGGUGGAGCAUGUGGUUUAAUUCGAAGCAACGCGAAGAACCUUACCAGGUCUUGACAUCCUCUGACAACCCUAGAGAUAGGGCUUCCCCUUCGGGGGCAAAAUGACAGGUGGUGCAUGGUUGUCGUCAGCUCGUGUCCUGGAAUGUUGGGUUAAGUCCCGCAACGAGGGCAACCCUUGAUCUUAGUUGCCAGCAUUCAGUUGGGCACUCUAAGGUGACUGCCGGUGNCAAACCGGAGGAAAGGUGGGGAUAACUUCAAAUCAUCAGGCCCCUUAUGACCGGGGCUACAACGUGCUACAUGGGCAGAAAAAAGGNNNCGAAACCNGGGNNUUAGCCAAUCCC
rnacentral:rRNA from 1 species